UACGUAGGGUGCAAGCGUUGUCCGGAAUUAUUGGGCGUAAAGAGCUCGUAGGCGGUCUGUCGCGUCUGCUGUGAAAACCUAGGGCUUAACUCUGGGCGUGCAGUGGGUACGGGCAGGCUAGAGUGCGGUAGGGGAGACUGGAAUUCCUGGUGUAGCGGUGAAAUGCGCAGAUAUCAGGAGGAACACCGAUGGCGAAGGCAGGUCUCUGGGCAUUAACUGACGCUGAGGAGCGAAAGCAUGGGGAGC
rnacentral:rRNA from 1 species